UCUAUCAAACCAACAGAUUCAAGCGAGCUGCUAAGAUCUGCACCUGUUACUGAGAAUAUUCCUCUGAAGGAGUGGGGAAUUGUGCAUCAGCAUACAUCAGCUGGUUGGAUAUGUCUGCAGAUAUGGAAAAUGAUGUUGAGAACUGAUGAAAAUAGUAAAAUAUGGAUAAAAUAAAUUGUGAACUAGCUCUGAACAAAAUAUACAAAGACAAACGAAAUAGGAGGAGCUUCAUGAAUAUAUAGAGCAUCAUAAAGUCCUGCAUUACCAAGGAGAGGUGGCAGAACCGGCUGUAUCUAACAGAGGUUUUGAAGAUCUGAAGAUUAAUGGAGAAAUAAUUCACAGAAACUCCAGAAUAGCAGUUUUCAAUCUGGCCUGUGCUUUGGAAAUCACCAGUCUUUGUCAGCUCAAGCUGUGGUAGUGAAAUAGCCAGACUGGGUGACUUAAGCAAAAGAAAGUUACUUCACUAGAUCUGGAGGCCAGAAAGUCGAAGGUCAAGGUACUAGCAAGAACCCUGUGCUUGUUUACAUCAGAUCUUCAAUUCAAAUAUCAAAGAAUUUCAUUCCAACAAGAAAUUGUCUUCGACUUAGCAUUAAGAAGACCCAUGUAAUUUGCGAAGCCAUUUGCCUGUUUAGAGAACCAAAAAUGUGUAAGCAGAACAACACAAAUUGUUGCAGAACUGUCAGUGUCAUUUUAACAUGGUUAAUGUUCCGGCAAAAUAAAUACAGGAAUCAGGACAAGAAUGUGAUUUUCUCUGCUCUAAAUGGAGCCUUUGUUUUAAGCAUCCAUAUUGCAUUUGAUAAGACAAUAUGGAUUUAGUUCUAUUUUGUAACUACAACUCCAGAUUUAUAAAUAUAUUUAUGAUAAUUCAAAUUACUGUGUAAGCAGAUGUAUUUGAAAA